GACGAACGCUGGCGGCGUGCCUAAUACAUGCAAGUCGAGCGGACAGAAGGGAGCUUGCUCCCGGAAGUUAGCGGCGGACGGGUGAGUAACACGUGGGCAACCUACCCUGUAGAUCGGGAUAACAUCGAGAAAUCGGUGCUAAUACCGGAUAAUCAUUUGAAGUGCGUGCUUCGCAUGUAAAAGAUGGCUCCGGCUAUCACUACGGGAUGGGCCCGCGGCGCAUUAUCUAGUCGGUAAGGUAAUGGCUUACCAAGGCAACGAUGCGUAGCCGACCUGGGAGGGUGAUCGGCCACACUGAGACUGAGACACGACCCAGACGCCUACGGGAGGCAGCAGUAGGGAAUCUUCCGCAAUGGACGAAAGUCUGACGGAGCAACGCCGCGUGAGUGAUGAAGGUUUUCGGAUCGUAAAGCUCUGUUGUUAGGGAAGAACAAGUGCCGUUUGAAUAAGGCGGCACCUUGACGGUACGUAACCAGAAAGCCACGGCUAACUACGUGCCAGCCGCCGCGGUAAAAC
rnacentral:rRNA from 1 species